CCUACGGGAGGCUGCAGUGGGGAAUAUUGGACAAUGGGCGAAAGCCUGAUCCAGCCAUGCCGCGUGUGUGAAGAAGGCCUUCGGGUUGUAAAGCACUUUCAGUGGGGAAGAAAGCCUUGGGGCUAAUACCCUCGAGGAAGGACAUCACCCACAGAAGAAGCACCGGCUAACUCCGUGCCAGCAGCCGCGGUAAUACGGAGGGUGCGAGCGUUAAUCGGAAUUACUGGGCGUAAAGCGCGCGUAGGCGGUCUGAUAAGCCGGUUGUGAAAGCCCCGGGCUCAACCUGGGAACGGCAUCCGGAAACGUUCGGGUUGGGGGCCAGGGAGGAAGGGAGGAUUCCCGGUGGUGCGGGGGAAAGGCUAGAGGUCGGGAGGAAAUCCCGGGGGCGAGGCGGCCUUCUGGACUGACCCUGGAGCUGGGGUUCGGAAGCGUGGGUAGCAAACAGGAUUAGAUACCCGGGUAGUC
rnacentral:rRNA from 1 species